AUUGCACAUCAUUUUAAAGAGUCUCUCUCUCUCUCUCUCUCUCUCUCUCUCUCUCUCUCUCUCAUGUAGGAUUUUUUCUGGAAAAAACAGAGAAAAGGAUGACCAGGACAUGUCUGCCACAAGUAAUGAUGUUUCUAGCCAUGUCUAUGAAAACUGCGUAGGAAGUCUGGGCUUAACAAAUUUACCUACAAACAAGACGACAAAUGCAGGCUCUGCUGCUCCAGGUGAUCGUGUUUAUGACACACAUAUCUCUAGCAAAUCUCAUCCAGGUGACUCAGAGCAUGUGUAUCUAAACUGAUCUACCACAUAAUAGUACAUAAUAUGAUAUGACUGUUGCAUAGAGUAGCUGCCUACUACUGUACUGUGCUGUACUGUAUGUGUAGAAAAUAAAGCAUGCU